rnacentral:rRNA from 1 species
UAGGCUGCAACUCGCCUACACGAAGCUGGAAUCGCUGUAAUCGCGGAUCAGCACGCCGCGGUGAAUACGUUCCCGGGCCUUGUACACACCGCCCGUCACACCAUGAGAGUCUGUAACACCCGAAGUCCGUAGUCUAACCGCAAGGAGGGCGCGGCCGAAGGUGGGCUUGAUAAUUGGGGUGAAGUCGUAACAAGGUAUC